rnacentral:rRNA from 1 species
AAUAUUGCACAAUGGGCGCAAGCCUGAUGCAGCCAUGCCGCGUGUAUGAAGAAGGCCUUCGGGUUGUAAAGUACUUUCAGCAGUGAGGAAGGCGGAGUCGUUAAUAGCGGCCUCGUUUGACGUUAGCUGCAGAAGAAGCACCGGCUAACUCCGUGCCAGCAGCCGCGGUAAUACGGAGGGUGCGAGCGUUAAUCGGAAUUACUGGGCGUAAAGCGCAUGCAGGUGGUUCGUUAAGUCAGAUGUGAAAGCCCGGGGCUCAACCUCGGAAUUGCAUUUGAAACUGGCAGACUAGAGUACUGUAGAGGGGGUAGAAUUUCAGGUGUAGCGGUGAAAUGCGUAGAGAUCUGAAGGAAUACCGGUGGCGAAGGCGGCCCCCUGGACAGAUACUGACACUCAGAUGCGAAAGCGUGGGGAGCAAACAGGAUUAGAUACCCUGGUAG